rnacentral:lncRNA from 1 species
GUGUCACACCACUCUCCUAAGCAUUUUGCAUUGUGGGUUAGUUGCUUCUGCGGUCACAACAGAAGACUUAAAAAUGGUUUUCAAGAUCCUUUUUACUUUACUGGUUCUCCAGAUCCCUCUGGGGAACCUCCCUGGACCUCCUCUGACACGUUAGGUCUCACAGGACCCCGGAGAAGGGGAAUCAUCUUAGAGGAAAAGAAGCAGGAGAGGAUAGGGCCUGGGAAGCCCAGGGACCAGCUUUAGAAAAAGAAAAACAGUAACCACUGUCAAGGGUGGAAUGAGAUUAAGGCACGUCGGGAUAACUGUGAUGAUUACAUUUAAGAGUCUCAGCAGAGUGGGGUGGUGAAUGCAAAUUGCUGUGAUGGGAGAGUAUGUGGGAAGUGAGAAAAUGCAAAUGCUUUCUGUACACUCCUCUUUCAAGAACACUCCCUGUGAAUGGAAGGAGACUGGGUGGAGACAGAUCUUAUUCCAGGCAAAAGAGAGGGGAGAAAGUGAAAGAAGGAGAGUUCUGAUGGCACCCCUAUGAUUGAAGCUGUGUAGUUGUCUGGGUAGAUUCAGUCAGCUGUAUUUGGGCAUAUUCAGGUAAGAAUAAAUGACUGGUGAUAUACUUCCCAUCAUUUCCAAAGAAUUAUUUGAAACCCUACGAAUGCUUUUACUUUUACUGAGUAUUAAAAUGUAAUUUUAUUAUAAAAAUGAUAAAACCCCUAAAAUAAAAUA